rnacentral:lncRNA from 1 species
GAGAAGAAAUCGAAUACAGAACAAGAUUGAUAUAUGAGAGAAGUUUAGAUCUCGAACAAGCAAUGAGAAUACCUCAGCUUCUGUUGUAUUUCUUCUUCAGUACUUCAAGUUUAUUCUUUACACAAUCUUUCAUCAUUUCACAGAUACAGAGGAAGAAGAAGAAGAAGCUCUUGAUGAAUCGAGAGAAGCUUUCAACCUUAGAAACUAACAAUAAACUCUCGCACACCUUCUCUUGUUCUAUCUUUUCCUUUUAUACUAGUCACUGGCUCAACUAUUUUCUGUUAUAGAAGUUACAACCGAAUAAUGUGAACAACACACGUGUAUUUCUUCUGACUGCUGCUUCUUUAAUUUGCUUGAUCUGCUUCUGUGUUUCAGGUUCUGCUUUCACGGAUUCGCCAGCUCCUGUAGUCAUGGAUCGCCAGCUCAUUCGUUCACUUGGAUCGCCAACCCACGACCUUCCUCUGGUUUAGCUUCCUCUGUUCCAGUUACUUUUUCAGGUUUGGCUUUUCUGCUGUUACUGACUUCUAUACACUUCUGAUCUUCUUUAACUUGUUUAAUUCUUCUAACAUCCCCCCUCAAAUUGGGAAUGGAGAGUGUAGAAAUUCCCAAUUUGGUUCGCAUAUAAGAAUGUGCUCUGCUUGUCAAUGGUUUUGUAAAAAUAUCAGCUAAUUGAUAAGAACUUGGAAUGUAGCUGACCUGUAGUGACCCUGAGGAGACUUUUUCCCGAACAAAGUGAAAAUCUAUUUCAAUAUGUUUGGUUCGAGCAUGUAAGAUAGGAUUCAGAGUAAGAGAUAUUGCUGACUUGUUAUCACAAUACAGAUGAAUAGGAGGCUUAAGAAAACAGCCUAUAUCACGUAAUACAAAACUGACCCAUGUAAGAUCAGCAGUGGCUGAUGCAAGAGCACGGUAUUCAGCUUCAGUAGAUGAUCUGCUCACGGUAGGUUGUUUCUUUGCUGCCCAGGAUAUAAGAUUGGAUCCAAUAUAUACACAGAAACCAGUUGUUGAUCUUCUGGUUUCGACACAACCAGCCCAAUCUGAAUCAGAAUAACCAUAGAGAUGCAUUGUACUGUGAGAGUGAAGAAAUAAGCCAAGCUUGAUGGUACCCUUUACAUACCGUAAGACUCUUUUUAACCUGUUGAAGUCUGCAAUUGUAGGUUGCUGCAUUCGUUGACAGAGUAUAUUUGUGGCAUAAGCAAUGUCUGGUCUGGUUAAGGUGAGGUAUUGCAAACCGCCAACUAAGCUUCUGUACUCAGUAGGAUUAUGCAAAGGUAGAGAAUCAUUGAUUAAAAUGGAUGGUUUGAGUGAGAGAGGAGUUGAAAGAGGUUUGGAAUCUUGCAUAUGAGCUCGGGUGAGAAGAUCUAGAGCAUAUUUGGUUUGGCAAAGGAAUAGAUAAUCUGGAUUUCGUGUAGCUUCAAUGCCAAGAAAAUAGUGUAGAGCACCUAGAUCCUUCAUAUGAAAAUGAAUGCUUAGUGAAGUAAUGAGACUAGAAAUCAUGUGAGAUGAGCUGCCAGUGAGAAUAAUAUCAUCUACAUACAGUAAGAGAAGGAUAGUGUCUGAUUCAGUAUGCAGGAUGAACAGAGAAGGAUCGGUGGAGCUACAGAAAAAGCCAUAUUCAAGCAGGAAGCUGCUGAAUUUAUCAAACCAAGCUCGAGGAGCUUGUCGAAGUCCAUAAAGAGAUCUUCGAAGGAGACAAACAUGGUGAGGCCUUUGUGUGUCUUUAAAGCCUGGAGGCUGUUCCAUAUACACUGUUUCACUUAAGUGUCCAUGUAAGAAAGCAUUUUUGACAUCUAAUUGAUGGAUUUUCCAUUGUUUCAUCAUAGCUACUGACAGAAUUAUUCGAAUUGUUGCAUGUUUCACUACAGGACUGAAGGUUUCUGUGAAAUCAAGACCUUCUUCUUGAUGAAAGCCUUUGGCUACAAGCCUAGCUUUAAGUCUAUCCAAGCUUCCAUCAGGUGCAAGUUUUGUCUUGAACACCCAUUUGCACCCGAUUACAUUCAUGUGAUUAUCUCGAGGAACUACUUCCCAGGUUUGAUUCUGAUAUAAUGCAUCCAUUUCUUCUUGCAUUGCUUGAUACCAUCCUUGGUGUGCUAAUGCAGACUUUAUUGAUUUUGGUUCAACAGGAAUCUUAUACUCAACCAGACAUGCAUAUUUGGGGUUUGCUUUAAUAAUUCCAGACCGUAGUCUAGUUUGCAUAGGAUGAGUUGAAGAUGUACCUGUCAUAUUUUCAGUGUCAACACUGUUUUGAGUUUGUCCUGUGUCGGCAGUGGGUAGUGAGACAUGCUCUUGAUUUGUAGAUAUUUGUUCCUCUAUGGUCGAAGAUGACUGAUGUGAUUCACUAUUACUAGAGAUAUUAUUAACAGCAUUCUGUAUUUCAAUACCAGGUAUAUUUUCAGAUGCAAUAUCUGGGUGAAGAUGACUGAUGUGAGAUCGACCUUCAUAAUUAUUUGAGGUGAGCUCAUCAUUUUGUAUUGCUGGAGCUAUUUGAUUGAUUCUGGUAUGCUGCAAGUAUCCCUUUGACAGAUUGUCUUGUGAUGGAGACUUCUUAGUAUAGUUGGAACUGGAGGAUAGGACUCCUUUUAUCCACUGUCUGUAUAGAUCAGAUCCCUGCUGAUAUUCAGUACUGAGUGUAUGAAUAAAGGGAAAGACAUUCUCAUCAAAUAGUACAUGUCUGCUGAUGUAAAUUCUUCCAUUUGUAGGUAAGAGGCACCUGUAUCCUUUAUGCUUCUCACUGUAGCCAAGAAAGAUACAGGUGAGUGAUCUUGGAUCAAAUUUAUGCUUUGUGUAAUGCCUGAGACAUGGAUAACAAGCUGAUCCAAAAACUCGAAGAUAGUAAUAGUCUGGUGUCUGAUUGUAGAGUUUGUAAUGAGGUGAAUGCAUGUGUAGUUUUGCUGUGGGCAGAAGAUUGAUAACAUAAACUGCUGUUUUGAAUGCAUCGACCCAAUAUUUCAGUGGUACUUUAGCAUGAUACAUCAUUGCUAGUCCUAAUUCAAUCACAUGUCUAUGUUUUCUCUCCGAGACACCAUUUUGCUCUGGUGUGUGAGGACAUGAGAUAAAUUGCUUAAUUCCAGACUUCUGUAGAUGAAGUUGGAAUUUAUUACUAGUGAACUCACCACCUCCAUCACUCUGCAAGAUUUUGAUCUUGUGAUUAAGCUGAUUUUCUACAAGUCUUUGAAACAUAACGAAUAUUUCAUAUACUUCUGAUUUCUGUCUCAUAGGAUAUAUCCAGCUAUACCUAGAAAAAUCAUCCACAAAAAUGACAUAGUAGGAGAAUUUCUGAACAGAUUGAAUUGGCGAAGGUCCCCAUACAUCACAAUGUAUUCUUUCUAAUAGAACAUUAGAAAUAUGGUCUGAGGAGUGGAAAGAUAAGGCUGAGCUUUUAGCAACUUGACAGCUGCUACAUAUAUUCUGAGUAUUGGAACUAAUUUGAAUGAGAUUUUGUUUCUGCAGGAUCUUCACUGUUUUAAGAUUGGUGUGAGCAAGCCUUUGAUGCCAGGUAUCUUCUGCUAUUUCCUGUUGAGUCUGUGUGAAGAAAACUUCUGCAGCUUUAGGUUCCACCUGGUAGAGCCCCUUGACUUUCCUUCCUAGCUUCACCAUUGUAUGACUGUGAUUGUCCUUCAUAUAUACCCCAUGUUUAUCAAAAAUAAAAGAACAGGGAUAGUCAUCUGUCAGUUUUGAUACAGAUAGAAGAUUCUUGGUGAUUGCAGGGACUACUAAUACAUCAUUCAGAGGUAAUUUGCUAUUUCCUGUAUUUAGUAUUCCAUUACCAAUGCAUGAGAUUGACAAAUGAGAUCCAUCUCCUAUCAUGACAGUGUCAUUACCACUAUAUGUAUUAUAGGUUUGAAUCAUACCAGGUUCUGAGGUAAUGUGUGAUGUAGCCCCUGUAUCUGGAUACCAUUCUGAGCCAUAGGGUUCUUCAAUGUGUACUGCUGCUAAUGCAGUUGGUAUCUCAUCUACCUGGUAUGAAUUGUCGAACCUAUACCAACAUCUGAGUGCUGUGUGACCUGAUUUCUUACAGAUCUGGCAUUGUAGAGGGACAUUAUUAGUAGGCUUUGUGUUCUGUGCUUGUCUAUCACCAUUUGAGCUUUGUGGUGGAUAAGAUCUAACAUUUUGAUACCUUUGUGCAGAAUUUGAAUAAGGUCGAAAUCCUUGUCCAUAACCAGACCAGUUAUCCUUAUUAACCUGACCUUGCUGAGUUGAAUACAUGUUAUUCAUUCUAUUGAAUUGAUUCCUUCCAGCUUCUGCAGAAUUAUUUCCAUAUUCUCUUCUAAUAAAGGGCUGACCUCUGCCAUAGUUAACUUCUCCUCGAAAACUUUCUCUUUGAUUUCUGGGAUUGAUUCUUUGCUGACUUGUUCCAGCUUUCCUUUGCCCAUAAUAGGCCAGGUUAGAGUUAUACUCAUUCAUGGAGUAUGUUUGUAAUCGAGUUUCAAACCUCUCAAGUUGUGAGAUUACUUCUUCAUACUCUGGCUGAGGCUUAAGACAAUACAUGGUUGUCCUGAAAGUUUCAUAUUCAGGACCUAGCCCUUCCAAUAUGCCAAACAUUCUUGUUAUAUUGUCAACAGGCUUUCCAAUUGCAUUCAAUUGAUCGCAAAUGGUUUUGAAUUCUCUGAGAUAUUCACUCAGUGAUCUGUUUCUUUUCUUGCAGGCUUGAAGUUUUCCUCUCAACUCAAACUCCUUUGCAACAGAUUUCUGUGUAAAUCUAUUUAUGAGAGCCUGCCAUACUUCAAGUGAGGUUUCUAAGCCGAUUAUUAGACUUAGAAUAUUUUCUGAUACUGCACCGCUUAUCCAGGAAGAUAUAAGCUGAUCGGUUUUUAUCCAAUCCAGGUAAUCAGGGUUCAUCAUUUCUCCAGUCUCAGUUUGUAUCAUUCGAUUUGGAGGUAAAGUUUCACCAUCAAUAAAACCGAUUAAAUCUUGGCUUUUCAGAAAUCUAUUAAACUGAGCUUGCCACAACAGAAAGUUUUCUUCAUUCAACUUGAUGGUAACAAAGUUCCCUAUAUUCACAUGAAUAGGGAAUGGAUACUUCUGAAGUCUAGUAGCCAUUCUUCUAUGUUCAAAGACUUUUGAAAUCCGCAGAUAAUCCAGUAGACUUUGAAGUAAACUAUCUGUGAGAUAUCAUGAUCUUUAUAACAUCAUGCAGUAAGAACACACCAGAUCUAUCAUACCCAGGAAAUCAUGCUCUGAUACCAUGAGAAGAAAUCGAAUACAGAACAAGAUUGAUAUAUGAGAGAAGUUUAGAUCUCGAACAAGCAAUGAGAAUACCUCAGCUUCUGUUGUAUUUCUUCUUCAGUACUUCAAGUUUAUUCUUUACACAAUCUUUCAUCAUUUCACAGAUACAGAGGAAGAAGAAGAAGAAGCUCUUGAUGAAUCGAGAGAAGCUUUCAACCUUAGAAACUAACAAUAAACUCUCGCACACCUUCUCUUGUUCUAUCUUUUCCUUUUAUACUAGUCACUGGCUCAACUAUUUUCUGUUAUAGAAGUUACAACCGAAUAAUGUGAACAACACACGUGUAUUUCUUCUGACUGCUGCUUCUUUAAUUUGCUUGAUCUGCUUCUGUGUUUCAGGUUCUGCUUUCACGGAUUCGCCAGCUCCUGUAGUCAUGGAUCGCCAGCUCAUUCGUUCACUUGGAUCGCCAACCCACGACCUUCCUCUGGUUUAGCUUCCUCUGUUCCAGUUACUUUUUCAGGUUUGGCUUUUCUGCUGUUACUGACUUCUAUACACUUCUGAUCUUCUUUAACUUGUUUAAUUCUUCUAACAU